UUCUUAUAGAAAGAAAAAUAGAAAAUUAUAUAAGUUUAUUGCCUGCCAUCUCAAGGCAUUUCUUUGCUAAUGCUUUCAACAAUCAGAAGUUAGAUAUUAUACACAUCCUCUUGCGGAGAAUUAUGUACUUAAUGCAGUGCAACACUCCAGAAGCGGAAUACAAUCUCCUCACGUGUUAGAGACUGAUGAUCUCGCAAAAGAGUCUACAGUUGUUCAGUUUAAGUGUGCGGAAGAACCUGCAAAUUUAAGUCCAUGAUUAACCUUCAUUUGUUUUUCCUUUAGUUAUAAGAUGCAUAAAUGUCUGGUACAAUCU